GACGGGGACCCGCACAAGCGGUGGAUGAUGUGGAUAAUUCGAUGCAACGCGAAAACCUUACCUACCCUUGACAUGUCCGGAAUCCCGAAGAGAUUUGGGAGUGCUCGCAAGAGAGCCGGAACACAGGUGCUGCAUGGCUGUCGUCAGCUCGUGUCGUGAGAUGUUGGGUUAAGUCCCGCAACGAGCGCAACCCUUGUCAUUAGUUGCCAUCAUUUGGUUGGGCACUCUAAUGAGACUGCCGGUGACAAACCGGAGGAAGGUGGGGAUGACGUCAAGUCCUCAUGGCCCUUAUGGGUAGGGCUUCACACGUCAUACAAUGGUCGGUACAGAGGGUUGCCAACCCGCGAGGGGGAGCUAAUCCCACAAAGCCGAUCGUAGUCCGGAUCGCAGUCUGCAACUCGACUGCGUGAAGUCGGAAUCGCUAGUAAUCGUGGAUCAGCAUGUCACGGUGAAUACGUUCCCGGGUCUU
rnacentral:rRNA from 1 species